CAGCACUCGCAUGCAGCACAGAAGCCCUGAUUUGUGCAGCCCAUGAGCAGAAAGAUCUAUUUCUCCGUGAGAGACAGCUGUAAGACUUGCUGGAGCUCUUCCUCCUCCCCCCGGAGCUGGAGCUCCCACUCCUCCAGCUCUUUGGCAGACAGCUCCAUGGCCAGCUGCAAGUCGCUAUCAAAACAGCUCCUCUCACUCGAGGCUCCAGGGCACAGGCCUUCUGAGCUGGUGAUGGAGCCCGCGUGAGAGAAGAAACAAACCCCAAAUACAUCCUGAAGAGGCCCCGCUGCUGUUCCCCCCGUCCAGGUGACAGUCGCGCUCCGCUUAGGAAGGUGCCUGUUACAACACUGGGCCCACCCUCUGCUGAGGCCAAUAGGGAGAAUGGGGAGGCAGCGACGCCUAACAGGGACACGUCAUCCACUGGCAAACUGGGGUCCACAGACCUAGAGCCAGUGGGGGCCCUGAGACAAGCUCAGGGGACACGGCUGCCCAGAGGCAGGGGUGGGAGCCAGUUCCCAUCCUGUCCCCACACUGGUGAGGC